rnacentral:sRNA from 1 species
AAAACAAAAACCAAAAAAAACA